GCUGGACAGUGGCGCCGGCAGCAGGGGACCGGCUGGAGACGGCGGCUUGGGAGCUGGCUGUGCUGCAGGAGCUGCGGCAGCCGCCGCCCUUGCACCUAAGGAACCUCUGCUGCCAGCCCUUCCUCACUUUUGGAAAUGGCAGGUGAAAUUACAGAGACCGGGGAACUCUACUCUUCCUACGUUGGGCUGGUGUACAUGUUUAACCUCAUCGUGGGCACGGGCGCACUCACCAUGCCCAAGGCAUUCGCCACUGCCGGGUGGCUUGUCAGCCUCGUCCUGCUGGUGUUCCUGGGCUUCAUGAGGUGAGAGGCAGCGGGGACUUCCCCACAGGGGCCAGGAGUGGAGCAGGAGGGAGUCAGCCCAGGAAGCCCGAACAUGA
rnacentral:sRNA from 1 species